rnacentral:lncRNA from 1 species
CCCCCCCCCCCCCCCCCCCCCCCCCCCCCCCCCCCCCGAUGAGGAAGAAGACUCGGGGUCAGAGGUCAGGAGGUGUAUAGUGAAAACUUUGUGACGUUCCGAUGUCGGUUUAAUAAAAACGUUCGAGAAUUUGAAUUCCUCAUUCUUGGAGUUUUUUUAUAAAAUAACAAAACCGUCAAUUACAAUGGUGGAGAUCAGUGAUAACAAGGAGAAAAGUGAACACGAGGAGGAAGAAGAAGAAGAAGAAGCUGAGAAGAAGAGAAGAAUGAAAGGACGAUGAAGAACUUCCGGGUUGUUGUUCCCGUAAACCUCGUGCAGAACCUCGAACCGAGAUCGUCGUGGUCGUGACUGAUGGGAAGAGGUAAGAUCCACAACGUUGAAUCAAGCAAGUUAUACCGAAUUAAUGGACGUGAAAGGGAGUUUGUGAGCGGUCAACAACAACGGUGGAGAUCACCGAUGAAAAGGACAAAAGUGAUCACGAGGAGGAAGAAGAACUUCCGGGUUGAUGUUCCUACAAGCCUCGAACCGAGAUCCUCGUGGUCGGGACGGCAUUGAUGGGAAGAGGUCAUCGGUGAAAUGGACAACUUCUUGAAAUGGCUCCAAUCACAAGCCGCAGGUUGUCCAGCUUGCAGGCUCUUCUCUCUUGGGAAGUCUUUUCCUCAACUUGGAGAAUGUUGUUCGAGAACUUUCCAGUUUCUGCAAAAAGUUUAUUGGAUUCCAAAAUGUGCAGCUGGAAAAUAUUCCUGGUUUCUGGGAAAACAGUUUCAGUGAUGUCUGCAACUUCCAUGAUCAGGAUGACGGAUUCACACCUGAGUCUGUAAGACAAGAAAUGGUGUCAGCGAACAGCACUACUUAUUCGUCUCCGCCACAGAGCUGCAGAUGUAUCUCAUCCCAUUAUCUAUCAUUUUAGAAUCAACACCAGUAUUGAUAAACUCUGGUAAUACUGGUAU